UACGUAGGGUGCGAGCGUUAAUCGGAAUUACUGGGCGUAAAGUGUGCGCAGGCGGCUCCGCAAGUCGAGUGUGAAAUCCCCGAGCUUAACUUGGGAAUUGCGCUCGAAACUACGGAGCUGGAGUGUGGCAGAGGAAGGUGGAAUUCCACGUGUAGCGGUGAAAUGCGUAGAUAUGUGGAGGAACACCGAUGGCGGAAGGCGGCAUCCUGGACCAAUAUUGACGCUGAGGAGCGAAAGCCAGGGGAGCAAACGGG
rnacentral:rRNA from 1 species